rnacentral:rRNA from 1 species
AUUGAACGCUGGCGGAAUGCUUUACACAUGCAAGUCGAACGGCAGCACGGGGGCAACCCUGGUGGCGAGUGGCGAACGGGUGAGUAAUACAUCGGAACGUGCCCGGUCGUGGGGGAUAACGUAGCGAAAGUUACGCUAAUACCGCAUACGAUCUGAGGAUGAAAGCGGGGGACCUUCGGGCCUCGCGCGAUCGGAGCGGCCGAUGUCAGAUUAGGUAGUUGGUGGGGUAAAGGCCUACCAAGCCGACGAUCUGUAGCUGGUCUGAGAGGACGACCAGCCACACUGGGACUGAGACACGGCCCAGACUCCUACGGGAGGCAGCAGUGGGGAAUUUUGGACAAUGGGCGCAAGCCUGAUCCAGCCAUUCCGCGUGCAGGACGAAGGCCUCGGGUUGUAAACUGCUUUUGUAUGGAACGAAAAGGCUCUGGCUAAUACCUGGGGCUCAUGACGGUACCGUAAGAAUAAGCACCGGCUAACUACGUG